AUGUCUGGAAGCACGGGAGAACGUUCUUUUGCUGAUAUUAUUACCAGUAUUCGAUACUGGGUUAUUCAUAGCAUUACUAUACCUUCCCUAUUCAUUGCGGGUUGGUUAUUUGUCAGUACGGGUUUAGCUUAUGACGUGUUUGGAAGUCCUAGGCCAAACGAGUAUAAAAAAAAGUCUUUACGCGAGAGCAAUAGAGGUUGGGAUACGUCUAUCUCUUCUGAGCAACCUCUUUUGGAUUCUUAA
rnacentral:rRNA from 1 species